UACAGAGGUCUCAAGCGUUGUUCGGAUUCAUUGGGCGUAAAGGGUGCGUAGGCGGCGCGGUAAGUCGGAUGUGAAAUCUCGGAGCUUAACUUCGAAACUGCAUUCGAUACUGCCGUGCUUGAGGACUGGAGAGGAGACUGGAAUUUACGGUGUAGCGGUGAAAUGCGUAGAUAUCGUAAGGAAGACCAGUGGCGAAGGCGGGUCUCUGGGCCGAUACUGACGCUGAGGAGCGAAAGCGUGGGGAGCGAACAGG
rnacentral:rRNA from 1 species